AAGUGAGAAUGCCGGUGUGAGUAGCGAAAGACGGGUGAGAAUCCCGUCCACCGAUUGACUAAGGUUUCCAGAGGAAGGCUCGUCCGCUCUGGGUUAGUCGGGUCCUAAGCUGAGGCCGACAGGCGUAGGCGAUGGAUAACAGGUUGAUAUUCCUGUACCACCUAUAAUCGUUUUAAUCGAUGGGGGGACGCAGUAGGAUAGGCGAAGCGUGCGAUUGGAUUGCACGUCUAAGCAGUAAGGCUGAGUAUUAGGCAAAUCCGGUACUCGUUAAGGCUGAGCUGUGAUGGGGAGAAGACAUUGUGUCUUCGAGUCGUUGAUUUCACACUGCCGAGAAAAGCCUCUAGAUAGAAAAUAGGUGCCCGUACCGCAAACCGACACAGGUAGUCAAGAUGAGAAUUCUAAGGUGAGCGAGCGAACUCUCGUUAAGGAACUCGGCAAAAUGACCCCGUAACUUCGGGAGAAGGGGUGCUCUUUAGGGUUAACGCCCAGAAGAGCCGCAGUGAAUAGGCCCAAGCGACUGUUUAUCAAAAACACAGGUCUCUGCUAAACCGUAAGGUGAUGUAUAGGGGCUGACGCCUGCCCGGUGCUGGAAGGUUAAGAGGAGUGGUUAGCUUCUGCGAAGCUACGAAUCGAAGCCCCAGUAAACGGCGGCCGUAACUAUAACGGUCCUAAGGUAGCGAAAUUCCUUGUCGGGUAAGUUCCGACCCGCACGAAAGGCGUAACGAUUUGGGCACUGUCUCAACGAGAGACUCGGUGAAAUCAUAGUACCUGUGAAGAUGCAGGUUACCCGCGACAGGACGGAAAGACCCCGUGGAGCUUUACUGUAGCCUGAUAUUGAAAUUCGGCACAGCUUGUACAGGAUAGGUAGGAGCCUUUGAAACGUGAGCGCUAGCUUACGUGGAGGCGCUGGUGGGAUACUACCCUAGCUGUGUUGGCUUUCUAACCCGCACCACUUAUCGUGGUGGGAGACAGUGUCAGGCGGGCAGUUUGACUGGGGCGGUCGCCUCCUAAAAGGUAACGGAGGCGCUCAAAGGUUCCCUCAGAAUGGUUGGAAAUCAUUCAUAGAGUGUAAAGGCAUAAGGGAGCUUGACUGCGAGACCUACAAGUCGAG
rnacentral:rRNA from 1 species